UGGCAACGAUAGCGCGGUGGUCCCACCUGACCCCAUGCCGAACUCAGAAGUGAAACGCCGUAGCGCCGAUGGUAGUGUGGGGUCUCCCCAUGUGAGAGUAGGGCAUUGCCAG
rnacentral:rRNA from 3 species